rnacentral:tRNA from 1 species
AAUUAUUUAGUAUAAGAAGUAUGAUAAAUUUAGGUUUUAUUGGUUGGUAUAAUUU